rnacentral:rRNA from 1 species
UACGGAGGGGGCUAGCGUUGUUCGGAAUUACUGGGCGUAAAGCGCACGUAGGCGGCUUUGUAAGUUAGAGGUGAAAGCCCGGGGCUCAACUCCGGAAUUGCCUUUAAGACUGCAUCGCUAGAAUUGUGGAGAGGUAAGUGGAAUUCCGAGUGUAGAGGUGAAAUUCGUAGAUAUUCGGAAGAACACCAGUGGCGAAGGCGACUUACUGGACACAUAUUGACGCUGAGGUGCGAAAGCCAGGGGAGCGAACGGG